rnacentral:rRNA from 1 species
AACGAACGCUGGCGGCGUGCUUAACACAUGCAAGUCGAACGGAAAGGCCCUGCUUUUGUGGGGUGCUAGAGUGGCGAACGGGUGAGUAACCUGUGAGUAACCUGGCUUUGACUUUGGGAUAUCUUCAGGAAACUGGUGCUACUACCGAAUAGCAGCUCCUGCUGCUUGGUGGGGGUUGGACAUUUUCGGCGGAUGGGGAUGGACUCGGGGCUUAUCAGCUUGUUGGUGGGGUAGUGGCUAACCAAGGCUUUGACGGGUAGCCGGCCUGGGAGGGGGACCGGCCACAUGGGGACUGAGAUACGGCGCAGACUGCAACGGGAGGCAGCAGUGGGGAGGAUUGCACAGUGGGCGGGAGCCUGAUGCGACAACGCCGCGAGGGGGAUGACGGCCUGCGGGUUGGAAACCGCAGUCGCCUGUGACGAAGCGUGAGUGACGGUAAUGGGAGAAGAAGCACCGGCUAACUACGUG